rnacentral:rRNA from 1 species
CGAAGGCCUGACGGAGCAAGACCGCGUGGGGGAAGAAGGCUCUUGGGUUGUAAACCCCUUUUCUCUGGGAAGAAAGUUGUGAAAGCAACCUGACGGUACCAGAGGAAUCAGCAUCGGCUAACUCCGUGCCAGCAGCCGCGGUAAGACGGAGGAUGCAAGCGUUAUCCGGAAUGAUUGGGCGUAAAGCGUCCGCAGGUGGCAGUUCAAGUCUGCUGUCAAAGACCGGGGCUUAACUUCGGAAAGGCAGUGGAAACUGAACAGCUAGAGUAUGGUAGGGGCAGAGGGAAUUCCUGGUGUAGCGGUGAAAUGCGUAGAGAUCAGGAAGAACAUCGGUGGCGAAGGCGCUCUGCUGGACCAUAACUGACACUCAGGGACGAAAGCUAGGGGAGCG